rnacentral:rRNA from 1 species
UGAGGAAUAUUGGUCAAUGGGCGGGAGCCUGAACCAGCCAAGCCGCGUGAGGGAAGAAGGCCCUAUGGGUCGUAAACCUCUUUUGUCAGGGAACAAAAGCGAGUAUGUAUACUGGUCUGAGUGUACCUGAAGAAAAAGGCAUCGGCUAACUCCGUGCCAGCAGCCGCGGUAAUACGGAGGAUGCGAGCGUUAUCCGGAUUUAUUGGGUUUAAACGGGUGCGUAGGCGGCGGUGCAAGUCAGCGGUAAAAGCCCGGGGCCUCAACCCCGGCGAGCCGUUGAAACUGCAGUGCUAGAGAAGGCGAGAGGUACGCGGAACGCGCAGUGUAGCGGUGAAAUGCUUAGAUAUUGCGCAGAACUCCGAUUGCGAAGGCAGCGUACUGGCGCCUGACUGACGCUGAGGCACGAAAGCGUGGGGAUCGAACAGGAUUAGAUACC